UUCCGGUUGAUCCUGCCGGACCCGACUGCUAUUGGGGUGAGGCUAAGCCAUGCGAGUCAGCGCUUCUAACCACGAUGAGGCGCGGCAUACGGCUCAGUAACAUGUGGUCAAUCUACCCCCAGGACGGGGACACCCUCGGGAAACUGAGGCUGAUCCCAGAUAGAUAAUGGAUCCUGGAAUGGUUCUUUAUCCAAACGAUACGGGGCUCAUGUGUUUCGUGUCGCCUGAGGAUGAGACCGCACCCUAUCAGGUAGUUGGUGGGGUAACGGCCCACCAAGCCUAUAACGGGUACGGGCCCUGAGAGGGGGAGCCCGGAGAUGGGUACUGAGACAAGGACCCAGGCCCUACGGGGCGCAGCAGGCGCGAGACCUCUGCAAUGCGCGAAAGCGCGACAGGGCCACCCCGAGUGCUAGACGCUGAGUCUAGCUUUUCCUUAGUGUAGUAAGUUAGGGGAAUAAGCGGGGGGCAAGCCUGGUGUCAGCCGCCGCGGUAAUACCAGCUCCGCGAGUGGUCGGGACGAUUAUUGGGCCUAAAGCGUCCGUAGCCGGCCUAGCAAGUCUCUGGUUAAACUUCAAGGCUUAACCUUGAGAUUGCUGGAGAUACUGCUAGGCUAGGGGGCGGGAGAGGUUGAGGGUACUUCACGGGUAGGGGCGAAAUCCUAUAAUCCGUGAAGGACCACCAGUGGCGAAGGCGCUCAACUGGAACGCGCCCGACGGUGAGGGACGAAAGCCAGGGGAGCAAAGGGGAUUAGAUACCCCCGUAGUCCUGGCUGUAAACGAUGCGGGCUAGGUGUUGGGUUGGCUUCGUGCCAACCCGGUGCCGCAGUGAAGGCGAUAAGCCCGCCGCCUGGGAAGUACGGCUGCAAGGCUGAAACUUAAAGGAAUUGGCGGGGGAGCACCACAAGGGGUGAAGCCUGCGGCUUAAUUGGAGUCAACGCCGGGA
rnacentral:rRNA from 1 species